rnacentral:tRNA from 1 species
ACACCGGUAGCUCAGUGGUUAGAGCGCUGGCUUCUCAAGCCAGAGGACCGGGGUCGAUUCCCCGGCCGUGUA